rnacentral:tRNA from 1 species
UUUAGUGGUAAAAUUAGCCUUCCAAGCUAAG